UAGGGAAUCUUCCACAAUGGACGCAAGUCUGAUGGAGCAACGCCGCGUGAGUGAAGAAGGUUUUCGGACCGUAAAGCUCUGUUGUUGGUGAAGAAGGAUAGAGGUAGUAACUGGCCUUUAUUUGACGGUAAUCAACCAGAAAGUCACGGCUAACUACGUGCCAGCAGCCGCGGUAAUACGUAGGUGGCGAGCGUUGUCCGGAUUUAUUGGGCGUAAAGCGAGCGCAGGCGGAAGAAUAAGUCUGAUGUGAAAGCCCUCGGCUUAACCGAGGAAUUGCAUCGGAAACUGUUUUUCCCGAGUGCAGAAGAGGAGAGUAGAACUCCAUGUGUAGCGGUGGAAUGCGUAGAUAUAUGGAAGAAUACCAGUGGCGAAGGCGGCUCUCUGGUCUGCAACUGACGCUGAGGCUCGAAAGCAUGGGUAGCGAACAGGAUUAGGUACCUGCUGAGCCAUGCCGUA
rnacentral:rRNA from 1 species